rnacentral:tRNA from 1 species
GAGCAUAACCGGCGUAAUGGGGACUGCUAAUUACCCAUGCCCACAGUUCAAUUCUGUGGUUUGCUCA